rnacentral:rRNA from 1 species
AUUGAACGCUGGCGGCAGGCUUAACACAUGCAAGUCGAGCGCCCCGCAAGGGAGCGGCGGACGGGUGAGUAACGCGUGGGAACGUACCCUUUGCUACGGAAUAGCCUCGGGAAACUGGGAGUAAUACCGUAUGUGCCCUUCGGGGAAAGAUUUAUCGGCAAAGGAUCGGCCCGCGUUGGAUUAGGUAGUUGGUGGGGUAAUGGCCUACCAAGCCGACGAUCCAUAGCUGGUUUGAGAGGAUGAUCAGCCACACUGGGACUGAGACACGGCCCAGACUCCUACGGGAGGCAGCAGUGGGGAAUCUUAGACAAUGGGCGCAAGCCUGAUCUAGCCAUGCCGCGUGAGCGAUGAAGGCCUUAGGGUUGUAAAGCUCUUUCAGUGGGGAAGAUAAUGACUGUACCCACAGAAGAAGCCCGGCUAACUCCGUGCCAGCAGCCGCGGUAAUGUACAGUGU